rnacentral:rRNA from 1 species
GAAAGCGUGGGGAGCGANCAGGAUUAGGUACCCUGGUAGUNCACGCCGUAAACGAUGAGUGCUAGGUGUUAGGCCCUUUCCGGGGCUUAGUGCCGCAGCUAACGCAUUAAGCACUCCGCCUGGGGAGUACGACCGCAAGGUUGAAACUCAAAGGAAUUGACGGGGGCCCGCACAAGCGGUGGAGCAUGUGGUUUAAUUCGAAGCAACGCGAAGAACCUUACCAGGUCUUGACAUCCCGAUGCCCGCUCUAGAGAUAGAGUUUUACUUCGGUACAUCGGUGACAGGUGGUGCAUGGUUGUCGUCAGCUCGUGUCGUGAGAUGUUGGGUUAAGUCCCGCAACGAGCGCAACCCUUAUUGUUAGUUGCCAUCAUUCAGUUGGGCACUCUAGCGAGACUGCCGGUAAUAAACCGGAGGAAGGUGGGGAUGACGUCAAAUCAUCAUGCCCCUUAUGGCCUGGGCUACACACGUGCUACAAUGGCUGGUACAACGAGUCGCAAGUCGGUGACGGCAAGCUAAUCUCUUAAAGCCAGUCUCAGUUCGGAUUGUAGGCUGCAACUCGCCUACAUGAAGUCGGAAUCGCUAGUAAUCGCGGAUCAGCACGCCGCGGUGAAUACGUUCCCGGGCCUUGUACACACCGCCCGUCACACCACGAGAGUUUGUAACACCCGAAGUCGGUGAGGUANCCUUUUAGGAGC